CCCCGCGCUGCGCCCCGCCUCCUGCCUCCGCACUUCCAGGACUUGUUUAUGAGGUCGUCUGGGCGGCGGGUAGUGGGGUGGGACUCCGCAUCAGGGAGACGCGGCCUGCACGGGGCUGAGGGGCGGCCGGGAGCAGGGCUCCAGGAUUGCUGCCGGGGGCGGCAGUUCCGCCACAGCGUCGUUGUCCUCCUACCGGCGCUGUGCCCUUGGAACGAGGGCAGGACCGCGGGCAGCGCCCGGCCGGCCCGGAGCCCCUCCACGCUGCUGCGCUCCCGCGUCCCUGGCCCCGUGACGUGGGCCUCGGGCCAGGGUGUGCCCUCAGGAGGAUGGGAUAGAAUAAAGUGUGAACUUACAAACCUGGCAGAGAGCAAGCACCUGGGAUGCAGUGGGCUGGUGGAAGAAAGAUGGCCUCAGUAGUCCCAUCGAAGUAACAUUUCAGCUGAGUUCCCAAGACAAUCAAUGCCAACUACUGCCACUUCCAAAAUGUAGAACACAAGAAAGAGCUCCUUGAAAAUGAUUUUGCAUGCCUUCUCCAGCCACUGUCCACCUCAAGGGAGUGCAUGGAUUGAUACAGAAGAAGACUCGAAGUUGGAGUUCUAGGAUUGGGUUGUCAACAUUGUGGUCAGUUUUCCUCCCCAUACCAUGGAGAGAGGACAUGCUUUGCUCCUGUCUCUUAAGUCCAGUGACUAGGGCUUACCUGAGACCACACACAGAGCUUGAUAUGUGUCCCUGGAGCUUGUGGAACACAGGAGACUGCCCACUGGUGAGCAGCUGGCUGAAGAGGCCUAUUGUUGAGUUUCCUGGAAGAUGACUCUGAGGGGGAAGAUUAAUGUGAGGAAGGUUUUUUAGAGAGUGCUCUUGGGAUAGCACCCAGAGGAGGAAAAGGGAAGAAGCAGGAUCAUAGAGAGAAGUGGACCCCCACUGCCCAGAUCUGAAGCUGGGAUGGCCCUUCAGAGUUGUCCCAAGACAGAGCCAAGGGACCUUUCUACCCCUGCCACAGAUCGAUCAUUGUUUCUGGCUGACCUUGGGGAAAGGCUGUGACCUUGAGCAACAGCAUCUGGGGGAAUGUGUCCUUCAUUCCUAAGGGGAGAUCUGGGCAGUGAUCACAGGGUCCAGUAUGGCACAUGGCAUGCAGGUACCGGAUGUGGAACCUGCAAGAAGAAUCACCACCUAGGAUCAGACACAGUGGCUCACAUCUGUAAUCCCAGCACUUUGGGAGGCUGAGGCAGGCAGAUAACUUGAGGUCAGGAGUUCGAGACCAGCCUGGCCAACAUGGUGAAACCCUGUUUCUACUAAAAAUACAAAAAUUAGCCAGGCGUGGUGGUGGGUGCCUGUGAUCCCAGCUACUCAGGAGGCAGGAGAAUCGCUUGAACCUGGGAGGCAGAGGUUGCAGUGAGUCGAGUGAGUCGAGAUCACGCCACUGCACUCUAUCUGGGCAACAGAGACUCCACCUAAAAAAAAAAAAAAAAAAAAA
rnacentral:lncRNA from 1 species